rnacentral:tRNA from 1 species
GCUGGCGUAGCUUAAACCAAAGCAUGGCACUGAAGAUGCUAAGAUGAAUUUUAGUAACUUCCGUAAGCA